AUCUGUUCUUAUCAGUUUAAUAUCUGAUACGUCCCCCAUCGGGGGACUACAUAUUAAAUGGAUUUUUCGAACAGGGAGUCGGAAAUGGGGCUUGCUCCGUCCGCUCCACGCAUCGACCCGGUAUUGCAGUACCUCCGGGAACGGUGC
ensembl:snRNA U2 U2 spliceosomal RNA